UAAUUGUCUCCAGAAGGUUUCUGAUUGUUCUGGAACCUUCCCUGUUACCUUACCCAGGGAAAAGGGACCUACUUAGCCUGAGGCUUAUAUAUCUGCCUUCUAUUACUCUCCUAUAGCCAUCUGGCGCGACCCUGUCACACUGUCCUUUCCUUGGUUCUCUUCUC